rnacentral:rRNA from 1 species
AUGUCGCGGUUCCAGCGAGGCCUGCGCCCGGUGCUGCAGGUGUUGGGCGCCCCUGCCUCGGCGGGCCCCACGGACCGGUACCGCUUCCUGCUCUCCGACGGCGUGCACUCCCAGGAGGGGAUCCUCGUCCCCUCCCUCGACAGCCUCGUCAGGACCGGCCGGCUCUGCGACGGCACCGUCAUACGCGUCCUCGACUACGUCUGCAACUCCGUCUGCAGCCGAAGGUGA